CAUAUUCGGAGAAAAAGAUAAAAAAAUAUGAGGGAAAUCCGUCGCAAUUGAUACCCAACUAAAAAAUGUAUCCAACUGAUACCAGUAUCAGAUAUGUAUUCUAUAUAGUCAUACGGUUGUAAAUAAAAUAUUUGGGUUCUGUCCGCUGUGUGUAAUACGCUAAAUAUGUUAAAUUCAGAAAUAUUUAUAAAAUAAAUCAAUAUCCUCAAGUGUAAUACUAUUUCAGUGGAUUCUUCACGUCCAUGCGAUAUUAUCAACACUUUACAAGAAACUCUUCACGAUGCAAUCUUUUGUAGUAUACCUUCUCGUUCUGAUGAUGUUACUUGUAGUCGUAGCGAUUUUAAUCAUGAUAUAUUUGCUGCAUCAAGUGAAGAAACUGAAGAAUAAAAUGGUAGACAGUACGAGUGGGCCACGCUAUCCAAGCAGCGAACUUCCUCCAUACGAAUAUUGCUUGCUGGAAAAGGAAACGCACAGUAAAUUUCAUAAAGACAGUAUUACUAAUAGAUCUGCUGUUUCGAGCUGGAUCUAUAAGGAUUUUAAUAUUAAAGCAUGAUACUUAUUUAACUACCCAUGAUGUGUGAAUGUUUACCUCAUUAAGUAUUAUAUAUUACCUGAUUAAGUAUUAAAUUUCGUACACACCAAUAAUUAUUAAAAAUUACUAACUGAU